CAGAGAGAAGAGGAAAUCUCCAAAAAAAACCGCUGUUAGCUAUGAGACUUGAAAAGCCCGUGUGACUACACAGCGCUGCGGCUGUUGCGAUGAGCCCAGAUGCACAGUGCGCACAUUUGUUUGUAUUCGAGAGUAGGGAUAGAGUGCGGCGAAGGAGCAGGUGAACACUUUUUAGGGCUGGCGUUGGAUUAAUUUAGGGCUGUGAAAGACUGAAAGGUUGGGGGACAUUGGAUUAAGAGCCUGUUUGGUAUAAAUUAUGUUAAGAAUUGUUUAAUUAAAAAUAAAAGUUAAAAAAAAAAAUUAAAUAAAUUUUUUUAAUAAUUAACUAUUUUUUAAUUUUUAUAAAAUAUUUUUAACUUAUAAAUAAAAGUAGAAGCUCUGUCAAAUAUUUUAUCAUAACUUUUAAGUUAGAAACAAACAGAAAUUAAUUAUUUUAAGUUGUGUCAAACGUGCAUUAAACAAACUGAUCUACUUGAGCUUAUCUUGUGAUCGUUAAAAAUUCAUUUAAAAUUAAUUUGCUUGAUAAAGAAAUCGAGUUCAAGCGUAUUUUUAAAAUUCGUUAUAUUUUAAAAUUAAGUUUAAGUAAUUUAUUAUUUUAUUUGAUAAAUUUAUAAUAUUUAAAAAAAUAAAAUUAAUUAAGUUCAAAUAUAUUAUUAAAUUUUUUUUUAAUUGUUUACCUCAUUUAUGAAAUUAUAGUCAUAAUUCGAGUGGUUGAAAGAGGAAAGGACAAUACAUUCCCUGCAUGAGAGACUUAUGCUCCGUUUGGUAAUACUUAAAAAUCAAGUUUUUUUUAAAUUUAUUAUUAAAAGAAAUAAAGUUUUUUAGUUUUUUUACUUUUUUUAGCUUUACUUUAGAUAAAAAUAAAUAAAUAAAUAAAUAAAAAUAAAAAAGUAAAAAAGUCAAUUCUGAUUGACUUUUUUGCUUAUUUUAAGAAAAAAAAUCAAUCGAAAAGUUCAAAUAAACUGAUUUCAAACGGAGUCUUAGAUUGACUUCAUGAGAUAUUACCACUAUUAAUGUUGACAGGUAAAAAAGUAACCAUUUGGGAGGGUUGUGAAAUUGGAAAUUCUACGUUUUAUAAUAUUUUUUGUAAAAUAUUAUAUGAUAAAUGCAAAAUGAUAUCGUUAUAAUCGAAAAAAUACAAAACGAUGUUGUUCCAUUUAGGGAAGAAACGUGAAACAAUAAGUGAAACGAUAUCAUUUUGUAUUUAUUCGGCUGAAAUGACUUAAUUUUAUAUUUAUUAUAUAAAUAUUAUAUAAAAAAAGAUUGUAAAUGUAGCAUUUUUCCUGUGAAAUUACAAGAGUAUCACAUUCACAGGGCUUCGGUUUCAGGCCGUACUUGAGCAACAUCUCCUUUGGUACCGUAUCGUACGCAUGCCAGACACUUUGUUUUGGAACUGGCUUCUCUGCAAGCUGCACCACACCCGAUAAAAUAUAAGCAUUUUAAAUUUUAUUUUAGAUUUAAUAAUUUAAAUUGUUUAGAUGGUAGAUUUAAUUAUAAAAUUUGGUUAUUUAUUAAACACAAUUCAGUAUAUAAGUAUUAUUUUAUAAUUUAAUAAAUGAGUGUAGUAUAUAUGAUUAUAUUUAUUUAACUAGUUAUAAAUUAAAGAAAAUAAUUUCCGCACUCCUAUAAUUGAUUUCUGCACUCUAAAAUAGGAGUGCAGAAAUCAAUUAUAAGAGUGCAAAAAUUAAUUACCUAGUAAUAGAGUUUUCGAUGAUGUCUAUUAUAUGAACGAUUUAAAUAAUUAACAUGAGACUUAAAAUAUUUGAAUGCACCCGUACAGUUUAAAAAUGAACUUUAGAAAAGCCUAGUUUUUUUUUUUUGCUAAUGGAAAUAGAUAGUAACCUAAAUAGGGUUGGUUGGUUGGAUUAGAAAAGACUUAGCAGGUGAAAACCUAGGUCUCAAGUUCAAAUUUUCUCAAUGACUAGUUAUAUGGUCAUUUAGUACAAAAGUUGAUAGACGUGUUUUCCAGUUUUGGACGAAUCAUUCUUAGUGUCAGGAGUGUGAGUUCGUUACUAGCAAUGAUACAUAAUGUCUGAGUAUGAGUUUGUAUCACUACACCGAUAACGAUCCCUAAAAACCUUGUUUGAUAACAUGUAUAGAUGAAUGGGACUAGACUAUUAAUAUCUUGGCCCCCUAAUAUUCUGUUUGGUAUACAACAAAGUUGGAGGGAACUAUUAGUUAUCUUGUGGGGGGUAUUAGCAGGGGUUGGGAUUGAAUCUAGGCCAUGGUAUUUGCAAAUUAAUGACGACAAUACCCUCAUGCAUAACCCUCUCGCUGGCUCCUGCGCUUGCACACAAGGUCAGCCAGUGGGUUUCAAUUUGUAGAACCAGUGAGGUUAAAUUUUGGAUCCACACGCGCGUUAAGAAGGGUAGAAUUUAAAAAUUCAAUGUUAUACUAAUCCAUUCUAGUGUGUAAAUCAACAUGAUAUUUGAUAAUUCUAUUGUCUAAUUCUGUUGCAAAAUCAAAUAAGAGGUUGGAUUAUUGCCUUCGUUAUUUCAUCUUUGUCAUUACCAAUCCCAAAUCUAAUACCACUGAUUUGGCAAUCCCCCAAAUCCAUAUGAUUAGUUCCAAAGGUUUAGCCCAUAGGUAGGCCUUUACAAUCCGUUAAAAUAAUUAAGAGAUGAUUGAUUAACCAAUAAUGAGUAAAUGAAAUUAUUAAUAGUUGGUAUUUUCCAAGAGUGUGAGGAUUAAAUAAUUGUCUAAGGGAAAUAAGUAAAAAAGAUGAUGAACAGAAUCACUGAUUUUUUGUCAUCAAAUUAAUUCCCUUAAAUUAUUUUUAAACGGUUACUAGUCCCUUAAAGCUUAGUUGAAAGGGGAAGGUGAAAAGUGUAAUUAUUAAUGCUAUAGAAGUUAAAAAAAAAUUAUUUAUAUUACUUUUUUGCGGAGAAAAGUACUAGGAAAUGGAUAAAAAUAAUAUUAAAAUUGAGAAAAAAUAACAACUCCGAACAACCGGGUUAAGGCGCAAGUAUCUUGCUCUUUUUAAGUUCAAGGCCUCUGCAAGUGAAAAAUGUCAGAACUGGUAUAGCAAACCUUCUCUUUUCUUGACUUGUCUCCCCU
rnacentral:lncRNA from 1 species